rnacentral:misc_RNA from 1 species
GCUGACAUUAAAGAGAUUUUGGAGCAUGCAUUGAUGAAUAGUUCAAAAGUGCCAGCCUUUAGCACGCCAAAAUCUCUGAGCAUUUUCAUCUCGACGAGCAUCUUUGAUCUUCAAAAAGAGCUUGUAAGCUUUCUCUACUUUACUUGAAGCAAGUAGUUUGUUAUUUAGUUUGCUACAUAUGAGUCUGCUUGGGCAAAAGCCCUUGCUUAAAGAUUCCUCCAUAACAAGUACAGCAUUUUCAAGC